rnacentral:rRNA from 1 species
GAAAAGAAACCAACAGGGAUUGCCUUAGUAACGGCGAGUGAAGCGGCAAGAGCUCAAAUUUGAAAUCUGAUGUCUUCGACGUCCGAGUUGUAAUUUGAAGAGGAAUCUUCGGUUUGGACCACGAUCUAUGUUCCUUGGAACAGGACGUCGUAGAGGGUGAGAAUCCCGUACACGGUUGAUGGUCUCUUUCCAUGUGAAGUUCCUUCGAAGAGUCGAGUUGUUUGGGAAUGCAGCUCUAAAUGGGUGGUAAAUUUCAUCUAAAGCUAAAUACCGGCGAGAGACCGAUAGCGCACAAGUAGAGUGAUCGAAAGAUGAAAAGCACUUUGAAAAGAGAGUUAAACAGUACGUGAAAUUGUUGAAAGGGAAGCGCUUGCAAUCAGACUUGCUUUGGAUUGAUCAACGUUCCUUCUGGUUCGUGCACUCAGUCUCUUGCAGGCCAGCAUCGGUUCGGACGGCGGGACAAAGACCUCGGGAAUGUGGCUCUCUUCGGGGAGUGUUAUAGCCCUUGGUGCAAUGCCGCCUGCCCGGACCGAGGACCGCGCUUCGGCUAGGAUGCUGGCGUAAUGGUUGUAAGCGACCCGU